rnacentral:lncRNA from 1 species
GAGAUAUGGCUUACCCAUAAAAAACUAAGUUUUCCAACUACAAACAACCAAAACCACCAAUCAAAAUCAUGCUUAAAUUCACUGCGGAGGAUUGGCUCUGAGCUGGAGUGCUUGGCUGACCUUCAGGCCAUCCCUGAUGUCAGGCUCCUGCUCAGCUCACACAGGUUGGGUCCAGAAGCUAACUCUUCUCUGUGCUUUAUUGACAGGUCAUGUCUUGACUGCAUUGGGAAAAAUGCGAUCAUUUUAAAAAGUCAAAUAUCUUUAUUACCUCCUAAACUUCUGCAGCAAGUCUUCCAAAAAAUAACAUUUUGGACUGCAGCCAAUUACCGAAAGGAGCAAAGAAUCCAAAAGGGAGAGACAGAAAAUAAGCAGCCUAGGGUCAGUAGCUGCUGAGCCCUCUGAGCCCAGUGUGUGAGCGUGUUUGCAUCAGACCACACAGUCCACCUCUGCUGAAGUGAAGGCUGCCUUGCAGGAUACAAGUGUUUGCCAAUGUGAUUCCAUGGUACAAGAUGUAUGGAAAUAAGACGUAGUUAAAGAUUUAUCUGUGUGUUUGUAAACUGAUUUUCUUAUAAAAGAAUAAGUGUUCUUUCUGGGAAUAAGUACAGUAACAACAGAUCUUAACUCAGUGUGUACUCUUUUCUUGAGAGAUUAUACAGAUUUGAAGAACAGACAUUGCUCUAAGAUCUUCAGAA